UCUCAGGAGCCAGGGCAAAUCCCGCCCCUCGCGUAGUGGUGCGGGCUGGUUCCGUCAGAGCGGUGUCGCGAGCUGCUCGUAGCUAGGGCACGCGGCACCCCGCCAGGCAGCUCCGGCCGGGGGCAGUGUGCCAGGGUAGGGCGGAGGAGGUGAGGUGUUUCUAGCCCAGGGUGGCUGUGCCAGGGCAGGGCUAGCGAGGAGGCUGCACACAGGCGCUAUGGAAGCCUAAGUAGAGUCAGAACAGGCUGUAUCCUGACAUCUGGUGGGGGAGAGCCUGAAGAUAUAUUGGUGAGUGGCUAACGGGACAGCUGGUGGAGAGAAGCAGCUCGGGGUGAAGACUGCAGCAGAACCCCACGCAGAGGCAUGGCAAUUGACCAUCAACACGAGCAGCGGAGCACGGAACCCCUAUGUGCUGAACCCGGCCCUUGCUGCUGUCAACUCGGCCUCGCAGAAGGGUUACAGAAGAAAAAGAGAGAGAAGAAAGAGAGAAAGAAAAAACCAGCUGGACCUAUUAAAGAAGCAGAACCAGAACCCCCUGGCCCCAACGACUUCCAUCACUCUCAAAAUCCACAAAUGGGAACACUUAUGUCCUGCAUACAGUGAGGACGAUGAAAUUGCUGAAUAUCUGACUACCUUUGAAAGACUGUAAUACAUGAAAUCCCUUGUGGAAGCCAGUAAAUAAUUAACAAGGUU